rnacentral:piRNA from 1 species
GGAGUUUACAUGAAGUCCAUGGCAAUGGGA